GCAAGUCGAACGCGAAAGUCACUUCGGUGGCGAGUAGAGUGGCGGACGGGUGAGUAACGCGUGGGAAUCUGCCUCGUAGUGGGGGACAACCCGGGGAAACCCGGGCUAAUACCGCAUACGUCUUACGAGAGAAAGGGUGCCUCUGCUUGCAAGCACUCGCUAUGAGAUGAGCCCGCGUCGGAUUAGCUAGUUGGUGGGGUAAAAGCCCACCAAGGCGACGAUCCGUAGCUGGUCUGAGAGGAUGAUC
rnacentral:rRNA from 1 species